GAACGCUAUCGGUAUGCUUAACACAUGCAAGUCGGACGAAUUAAUUAGGGCUUGCCCUAAUUAAUUAGUGGCAGACGGGUGAGUAACACGUGGGAAUCUACCCAUCAGUACGGAAUAACUUUUAGAAAUAAAAGCUAAUACCGUAUAUUCUCUAAGGAGGAAAGAUUUAUCGCUGAUGGAUGAGCCCGCGCCAGAUUAGGUAGUUGGUGAAGUAAUGGCUCACCAAGCCAACGAUCUGUAGCUGGUCUGAGAGGAUGAUCAGCCACACUGGGACUGAGACACGGCC
rnacentral:rRNA from 1 species